GAUGAACGCUGGCGGCGUGCCUAAUACAUGCAAGUCGAGCGAACAGACGAGGAGCCUGCUCCUCUGACGUUAGCGGCGGACGGGUGAGUAACACGUGGAUAACCUACCUAUAAGACUGGGAUAACUUCGGGAAACCGGAGCUAAUACCGGAUAACAUGUUGAACCGCAUGGUUCAACAGUGAAAGACGGUCUUGCUGUCACUUAUAGAUGGAUCCGCGCCGCAUUAGCUAGUUGGUAAGGUAACGGCUUACCAAGGCAACGAUGCGUAGCCGACCUGAGAGGGUGAUCGGCCACACUGGAACUGAGACACGGUCCAGACUCCUACGGGAGGCAGCAGUAGGGAAUCUUCCGCAAUGGGCGAAAGCCUGACGGAGCCAUGCCGCGUGAAUGAUGAAGGUCUUAGGAUUGUAAAAUUCUUUCACCGGGGACGAUAAUGACGGUACCCGGAGAAGAAGCCCCGGCUAACUUCGUG
rnacentral:rRNA from 1 species